rnacentral:lncRNA from 1 species
AUUGCCGAGCAAGAAGCUGAAGAAGAUGAAGAUGCUAGGGAUAGACACCAUCGACCCGAGCGCCACCCAGAUGACAUCUCACAAGAUGAGCACACAGCUGAUGUCAUCGGGGAAGAAACUGAAGAACAGAGAACUCGAUGAAGGGUAAGGAACGCAGGGAGAGCAUAGCAUCAUCACCACCUCGCAGCGGAUCUACCAAUCUAGAAUCUGGACAAGGCUUUCGAAGUAGUCAUAACCCGCCACCACCAUACUCCUCUAGCCCCCAUUGCAUCCAUAGAUCUCAU